rnacentral:rRNA from 1 species
GAGGAAUACUGGUCAAUGGGCGAGAGCCUGAACCAGCCAAGUAGCGUGCAGGAUGACGGCCCUAUGGGUUGUAAACUGCUUUUAUAGGGGAAUAAAGUGAGCCACGUGUGGUUUUUUGCAUGUACCCUAUGAAUAAGGACCGGCUAAUUCCGUGCCAGCAGCCGCGGUAAUACGGAAGGUCCGGGCGUUAUCCGGAUUUAUUGGGUUUAAAGGGAGCGUAGGCCGGAGAUUAAGCGUGUUGUGAAAUGUAGAUGCUCAACAUCUGAACUGCAGCGCGAACUGGUUUCCUUGAGUACGCAUAAAGCGGGCGGAAUUCGUGGUGUAGCGGUGAAAUGCUUAGAUAUCACGAAGAACUCCGAUUGCGAAGGCAGCUCACUGGGGCGCAACUGACGCUGAAGCUCGAAAGCGCGGGUAUCGAAC